rnacentral:rRNA from 1 species
GACGAACGCUGGCGGCGUGCUUAAUACAUGCAAGUCGAACGGAAAGGCCCUACUUUUGUUGGUUGCACGUGUGCCGCGCGGGUGAGUAACACGUGAGUAUCCUCUACUUAUCUUACGGGUAACUCCUGGAAACUCGGGCUAAUACCGCAUCUAAGCUCCUGCUCCGUGUUGUGGGUUGGAGAGUUUCGGUGGUUGGGGAUGGACUAGCGGCGUCUCAGCUUGUUGGUGGGGUAGUGGCUUACCAAGGCUUUGACGGGUAGCCGGCCUGAGAGGGUGACCGGCCACAUUGGGACUGAGAUACGGCCCAGACUCCUACGGGAGGCAGCAGUGGGGAAUAUUGCACAAUGGGCGGAAGCCUGAUGCAGCAACGCCGCGUGCGGGAUGACGGCCUUCGGGUUGUAAACCGCUUUCGCCUGUGACGAAGCGUGAGUGACGGUAAUGGGUAAAGAAGCACCGGCUAACUACGUG